GAAAGCAUAUAAGUGCGAAGCCAACCUCAAGAUGAGAUUUCUUUUAAGGGUCGUUCAAGACUAGGACGUUGAUAGGUUGCAAGUGUAAAGGUGGUAACAUCAUAGCUGAGCAAUACUAAUUACCCGUAGACUUUUUU
rnacentral:rRNA from 1 species